rnacentral:miRNA from 10 species
UUGGUAAAAUCUCAGCUGGCAACUGUGAGUCUUUCACUAUCUGCACUCACAAUGGCCGCUGGGAUUAUGCUAA